CGUUGAUUACGUCCCUGCCCUUUGUACACACCGCCCGUCGCUACUACCGAUUGAAUGGCUUAGUGAGACCUCCGGAUCGGCCCGCAGACAGCGGCGACGCCGCCCGCGAUCUGAGAAGCUGGUCAAACUUGGUCAUUUAGAGGAAGUAAAAGUCGUAACAAGG
rnacentral:rRNA from 1 species